CUUUAACGUUCCCUGUUAACCUCAAAGGCCAAGUUCCGUUCAAAGCUCCUAUCUGGAGCUAGAAUAAGCUUGCUGUACUUGCCGAUUUGGUCAGUAUUUUCCAUCCCUAAGUAAGAGUUUUAAGUCGUAUUAAUGGAUUAUUAUCGAAUCACAAAUGAACCAGCAUUCUUUGUGAAUAUUUAAUCACAUUCUUUGUUGUUUUGGGCUAACUUUGGUAAAUCCAGCUUUGGAGGCUGUGAAUUUAUGAUACUCAGUUAUGGUUGUUUUUGGUAGUUAUGAUGCAUUUGAAUAACUUAUGUGACAUUAUACUAUGAAUAUUCUCCCUACCCUAUUUAUAUAUAUAUAUUGAGUUAUAAUGUGGAACUGAAACCUGUUCACCACGGGCGUCUAUAUUACUAAUCAUCUUUCAUAGAACAUGUCUCUGUCAUUUAUUCAUGUCAUCCAUUUGAUUCACUUGUUCAGAUGGUCAAGUGUCGGUAUCAUUUAACGAUACAAAUUUAUUCUUCACGCCGCUUAAUUUGUGAUGUUCGUUUGGUUCGUUGGUGUCAAGGACAUAUUCUGAAUACAGUGCGUUGUGGAAUACUAACUUGUGAUGUUGUAAUAGACAGCAAAUUGGUGACCAAUGGUAUACGAACAUGAGAAAUCGUACCGACACAGUGGCACUAAACAAAAAACUUUUCUGAUGCAAAUCUUGUAAUAUUUGUAGGAUUGUAGGAUUUGUAGUAAAUAAAAUGUCUGUGCUUAUCUCAGUCAUGAAAAGAAUGAACUGUUGGAAUAUUUACGAGACGUUAUGAAGUAUUUGCUUAGCUGGUUUGUUACAUCUUGUCUCGUUAACUCGACUAUGUUUUGUCCUUAUAAAUACUAAUUUAUGCUUCAUAACUCUCAAAAAUGUGGUUUAGCUGGCACUGUUUACAGAAAAACAUUGUGCGGUAUAAUGAUUCAACCAAUUAUUGUCAGUUUAUCUUAUAAGAUAUUAUUGAUGUCUAGGGUUGUCUUGGUGCAUUUGUUGUAUGGUGUAGGUUAAUGUACAACGUAUUGCGCGGGUGCUGGUUGUUUGUACUAAGUUAAGCUGGUAUAAUGUGGCAUAUAUUAGCUGUUGAAUAGAUGGUUAGGUAAAGCCAUUCAUAUGCGGAUUGCGAGUCACAUUGGAACAUUGUUGUUUCAUGUGACAUUAUGGGAAUUUUGUCGGUAAAAAACGUAAUAUAGAAGUACAAAAAUGUUUCAUGAAUUGAUGGAACUAAAACUCAGCCAAAUAUAUGCAGCUUCUUGUUCAAUACGUCC